ensembl:lncRNA
AUGUAGAGGUUCCUGAUGAGCCCGUCGCUCUUCGCCGUGUGGACCCUGGGAGCGAAGGACAGCGUAGGUCGAUCCUCGCUGGAGGCGAACUUCAUCUGGGCCAGAUUGUGGAUGAAGAAGUUGAGUUUGGUGGCAACGCUGCCCAGACUGGACUCUAUCAACCUGAGAGGUAGAGGGAGGACGGUUAAAGGCAGCGGUGACUCAUCGUCACCAUCAUCAUCAUCCUCACUUCUGUUCGUUCAUCCAUUAAGAUCCAGCGAAGUUCCACCAAAACACAAUAAACUCCAGAAGUACAUGGUGGCGUCGGCCUCCGACUCGUGAGGUCUCAGCGCGUCGUAGACGUACUUCAGAUCAUCCAGGCCCAGCAGGUUGAGGAACAGGUGCGUGUGCUUCCUGAUCAGGUUGUACGCCUCGCAGCAGAGGUCCACGAAGCCGUGGAAGCGGCUCGACGGUUUGUCUCCUCCGUUGAUGACGUACGCCAUGUCGGAGGUGAACACGAAGGGGGCGCGGUCCCUGCGAGCGUCACGUGACACACAGAGGCGGUGGCAUGCAGGUAAACCGUAAAUACAGAUAACCCUUCUACUGUGACUGUGUCCGAUCGUCCCAUGAACAUGAACAUGACAUCACGACUCACCUUUUGAUGUUCCCAAACAUCUGGGCGUGUCCCAGGAACUUUCCGAAGUCGAUGUGGAACAUGUGGCCGCUCUUCUUCAGCAUGAUGUUGUCGUUGUGGCGGUCACAGAUUCCCAGGAUGUAGGUGGCCACGCAGCAGCCGGCACACGAGAAGAUGAAGUUCUCCACCGCCUGAGCGCAGAGUGAUUAUUGCUUAAUCAGUGAGCAAUCCGCACCUGAGGGAGUGACACCUGGUGUGUCAGGUGUGUGUGUGUGUCCAGGUGUGUGUACCUUGUCAUACUGCUCAUCGGUGGGGUUGUGUUUCUGCAGCCAGUCGGCCAGCGGCCGGUCUUUGAAGGACCCGGUGACUCCGUGCUCCACCUGGAUCUUCCUCAGGGUGUCAGCCUGAGGAAUCAUCUCCACCAUACCUGGGGACAAGACACCGGUCAGUCAUACCUGGGGACAAGACACCUGUCAAUCGACAGCUCACCUCUUGUGACAUACACCGGUCUUCUUUUG